rnacentral:rRNA from 1 species
CAGGCCUACACAUGCAGUCGAACGUACAGGAAGCAGCUUGCUGCUUUGCUGACGAGUGGCGGACGGGUGAGUAAUGUCUGGGAAACUGCCUGAUGGAGGGGGAUAACUACUGGAAACGGUAGCUAAUACCGCAUAACGUCGCAAGACCAAAGAGGGGGACCUUCGGGCCUCUUGCCAUCGGAUGUGCCCAGAUGGGAUUAGCUAGUAGGUGGGGUAACGGCUCACCUAGCGACGAUCCCUAGCUGGUCUGAGAGGAUGACCAGCACACUGGAACUGAACACG